UAGCCCCAGCACCAUAUAAGCGUUAAAUAUUCUCACUUGUACGACGCGGUUGUUUCCUUAUAAAAAAUACGAUGCUCUUUCAAUUUCUUUCAUCUCUGUGUUUUAAUUUCAUAAUUUUACUGUUUAUAAAAAUUGAUUAUAUUUCUUCUGCUUUUUCUCUUUUUUUCCUUUUGAUCCAAAUUGAACCAGCAAUUCUCCACUUUCUAAUGGCAAUUUUCAGUAAUUCACCGGAAGUCUUUUCGGCGUCCUUUCUUCUCCGGUUAUGGCACGGUGGCUGCCAGCUCUUGCUCAUCUGAACGUAAUAAUCAUAGAUUCACCUUCAACAGCCACCGGUUUUCCUGCGGUGUCGCUAUAGCUCCUCUGAUACUUCUCUGUACUCUUCUUCUCCACCUUCAACAGCCACCCUUUUUUGUAAUUCUUCAAUCCAGUUUCGUGUUGAUGUUUGGUUGAAAAUUAUUUAUUUCUAUUGUUAUGGUUAGAUUUUGGUUUUUUUUUGUUAUUUGUUUAUUUGAUAAUACAUAUGUCAAUUUGUGGUGGUUGUAUUCAAUUACAGGCGCUACUAAAUUAGCAGACAGUUGAAUAAUGCAUUUCGUUAUAUCAGUAAAAGUUAAUCCUUUUUAUCUCAAUCCUUUGUUUAAGCUUAUUGUGUUCCUAUUUGUUCUCUUGGUAUUGUUAGAGGUUGGAAAAAAAUUCAAUAUCAAACAGCUUCACAGAUGGCCAUUAAAGUAUUGAUUUUGGACCCACUUGAAAAUUACCCAGAAACUUGAAAAGGAAGGGGCUAUUUCCAACCUAAAGUAAUAACUGUUGGAAUUAAAGAAUCAAGCUCAUGUGACUUUUGGCAACCAACAAUAAUUUUUUUAUAGUGAUAGACUCUUAUAGCUAGUGUAUUUGAUACUUGUAAUAGAUUGAUCUAUGUUAGAUUAGUAAAAAUGUGGUGGUAGCAAAACUCAAAUGAAUUGUUUUGUAUAUUUAUUUAAAAUUUGACUAUGGAUAUGCUUAAUUUAUGUGUUUCUAA